GAUCUGGUGACCUAAGUAGUUAGAGUGUCUGCCUUGGAUGCAGGAGGUCAUGGGUUUGAACCCUACUUGAGUCA